GGGAGCCCACACCAUAGAUAUACACCAUCUUCUUCUCCGCAAAAUACACGGAUCCACUGGGAAUAUUCACGACUCCCCAUCAAUUUUCACACACACAAAACGCAUAUACAGUGAGGACACACGCAUCUGGGGAACCUCCAUUUUUUUUUCAUGUUCACAGCAAAUACACGAUAUAUGCACACAUUGCACUGAAAUUCUUUUUCUUCUCAGGGAGAAUACACGCACAUAGGGAGAAUCAGCACACACAUACAACAACACCAUUUCACACACCCACACGCUGAAACGGAGAAAAAAUGGGAGUGGAAGCUAGUAACUGAGAGAUUGAACGAAGAGAGAGGAGGGAGAUCGAACGGGAGAGGAUUCAGGGAGGAGAAAAAUAGCAUCGCCACUGUUAAGCUCGCCGGAGCUCCGGUGACGCUACAACAGUGAUCAGACGAACCCCAAAGGAUCGAGCUCGACCCAAUUCUGCCUGAUUCCAGCGAGGUCCGUCGGAAAAUGAGAGAAACAGCAAAAAAGGUGUAUGGAUUUUAGUACUAGUUUCAUGUUGCUUUCUCGAUUCUAAUUCGGGUUGGCGAAGCAGAGUAAAAAGGUAUAUCGAGCUCGGGUUGGUUGGUUGAGGUUCGAUUCGAGGUUCAUCGGCGCGGACUCUACCGGAUUUAAUCGAAAUAAUACAUCGAAUUGAGAAAGCUUUAAAUCGAGGUUCAAUUCUACUCUUUUUCUUUUUUUUUAUCUCAUCGUUUAUUAUAUUUGGUGUGUUAGAUUGAAUAUCAUGUGUCGCUUGAUCCUUGUUGAUGAUGAAUAGUGAUUUAUUUUGAUUCGUGGUUGGUUUCCUUGAUUAUAGAUUGCACGGUGAAAUAUUUCGUUUGAGAAUUAAAAUUAAUUUGGGGGUGAGAAUUGAAAACUUGACAUAAUUGGUGAACUUUGGUUAGUUUGAUUCAUUGAUUGUUUGACUUGAAAUGAACAUUAAUUGAACUUAGUAGUACAUGAUACGUCGAUUGGUUUAGACAAACAUAGGUUGUGUAGGCAAAGUUUAGAAUUUGUGUUUUUUUUUUUGUUUGAGUUUAGACAAUGAUAUUGAGUUUCGGCGAUGGUAUGUUUGGUUCACACCUCCCCAAAGUGGUCUCAAUCUUUUAUGAGGUAAAAUAAUAUAAUGUUUUCUGCCAAAGGUAGGUAUUUUCACAUUAACUUUAUUGCCUAUAUUUAUGAGGAACCUACAUACUCAUCAAUAUAAUGAAUUGCAUUAGACUUAGUGACAGCCAUGUAUUUAAACAUGUUAAUCACGGAGAUAUACUAUCGAAUAUUACGGUAAGGAAUUAUUCUCCUAUUUAAAUUUGACCAUUGAACAUAUGGUUCUACACUGUAAACUUUUAUCUAGAAUAUGCUUUCGUCCCAAAAUCGACAAAACAAGUUACAAGUUUCCUGUCUUGUCCAUUUUUCCUUAUAUUUUUAAAUCAGAGAUUUAGGUAGAUACCUAAUUUUAUUCCUUUUAAAUUUAAUUUUAUUCGUUUUAAUUUACCUUACCACGUAUCCUAACCCAUGUAAUUAUACCCCAUAAAAAUAUAAAAAUAACAAUCCUUAACAAAAUUCCUAACAAAUUUUACCUUAUUUUAAUCAUCCUAACAACCUAACUACCCCUACCCACCUCAUUAUCCACGUCACCCCACCCAAUUUCCCUCACAUUUUAUUUUUCAUAAAAAAAAAUACAAAGAUAAGAGGAGAAAGAAAUACAUCACAACAACUUGAAGGGGAGCCCACACCAUAGAUAUACACCAUCUUCUUCUCCGCAAAAUACACGGAUCCACUGGGAAUAUUCACGACUCCCCAUCAAUUUUCACACACACAAAACGCAUAUACAGUGAGGACACACGCAUCUGGGGAACCUCCAUUUUUUUUUCAUGUUCACAGCAAAUACACGAUAUAUGCACACAUUGCACUGAAAUUCUUUUUCUUCUCAGGGAGAAUACACGCACAUAGGGAGAAUCAGCACACACAUACAACAACACCAUUUCACACACCCACACGCUGAAACGGAGAAAAAAUGGGAGUGGAAGCUAGUAACUGAGAGAUUGAACGAAGAGAGAGGAGGGAGAUCGAACGGGAGAGGAUUCAGGGAGGAGAAAAAUAGCAUCGCCACUGUUAAGCUCGCCGGAGCUCCGGUGACGCUACAACAGUGAUCAGACGAACCCCAAAGGAUCGAGCUCGACCCAAUUCUGCCUGAUUCCAGCGAG
rnacentral:lncRNA from 1 species